AAAGCGCGCGUAGGUGGUUUGUUAAGUUGGAUGUGAAAUCCCCGGGCUCAACCUGGGAACUGCAUCCAAAACUGGCAAGCUAGAGUAUGGUAGAGGGUGGUGGAAUUUCCUGUGUAGCGGUGAAAUGCGUAGAUAUAGGAAGGAACACCAGUGGCGAAGGCGACCACCUGGACUGAUACUGACACUGAGGUGCGAAAGCGUGGGGAGCAAACAGGAUUAGAUACCCUAGU
rnacentral:rRNA from 1 species